CAACCUGGCGGCGAGCGGCGAACGGGUGAGUAAUGCAUCGGAACAUGUCCAUUCGUGGGGGAUAGCCCGGCGAAAGCCGGAUUAAUACCGCAUACGCCCUGAGGGGGAAAGUGGGGGACCGCAAGGCCUCACGCGAAUGGGUUGGCCGAUGUCCGAUUAGCUAGUUGGUGGGGUAAAGGCUUACCAAGGCGAUGAUCGGUAGCUGGUCUGAGAGGAUGAUCAGCCACACUGGGACUGAGACACGGCCCAGACUCCUACGGGAGGCAGCAGUGGGGAAUUUUGGACAAUGGGGGCAACCCUGAUCCAGCCAUUCCGCGUGAGUGAAGAAGGCCUUCGGGUUGUAAAGCUCUUUUGUCCGGAACGAAACGGUUAGCGUGAAUAUCGCUGACUACUGACGGUACCGGAAGAAUAAGCACCGGCUAACUACGUGCCAGCAGCCGCGGUAAUACGUAGGGUGCGAGCGUUAAUCGGAAUUACUGGGCGUAAAGCGUGCGCAGGCGGUUUUGUAAGCCAGAUGUGAAAUCCCCGGGCUUAACCUGGGAAUGGCAUUUGGGACUGCAAGGCUUGAGUGCGGCAGAGGAGACUGGAAUUCCUGGUGUAGCAGUGAAAUGCGUAGAUAUCAGGAGGAAUACCGAUGGCGAAGGCAGGUCUCUGGGCUGACACUGACGCUCAUGCACGAAAGCGUGGGGAGCAAACAGGAUUAGAUACCCUGGUAGUCCACGCCCUAAACGAUGUCGACUGGUUGUUGGGAGUUUGACACUCUCAGUAACGAAGCUAACGCGUGAAGUCNACCGCCUGGGGAGUACNGCCGCAAGGUUAAAACUC
rnacentral:rRNA from 1 species